CCUACGGGGGGCAGCAGUGGGGAAUAUUGCACAAUGGGGGAAACCCUGAUGCAGCGACGCCGCGUGAGUGAAGAAGGAAUUCGGGAUGUAAAGCUCUAUCAGCAGGGAAGAAAAUGACGGUACCUGAGUAAGAAGCCCCGGCUAGCUACGUGCCAGCAGCCGCGGUAAUACGUAGGGGGCAAGCGUUAGCCGGAUUUACUGGGGGUAAAGGGAGCGUAGACGGCAGUGCAAGUAUGGAGUGAAAGGCGGGGGCUCAACCCCCGGACUGCUCUGGAAACUGUACGGCUGGCGUGCAGGAGAGGUCAGUGGACUUCCUAGUGUAGCGGUGACAUGCGUAGAUAUUAGGCGG
rnacentral:rRNA from 1 species